CCCGUUCGCCCACAUCGCAGGUCUGUCCUCUGAAUUUACAGGUGAUGUCUGUCUGUUGAAGCAAGCAGGUGAGCUGAUUUUUUGCAGCGAUUGGUUUGUGCAGAGAUUGGAGGAGGAAUGGAGUAUUGCAGAGGAAUGGAUGAUGCUUCUUUUGGUGCAGGUGAGCCAUGUAUUGGGAGUACGAGUACAGCACUGACAAAAUUCAGUUAGCCAUGGAGUACAAUAGAUGAACAUACAGUAUAGAUUCAGUUAGCCUUGCACUUUGCAUGCUUCCAGUAUUGGUGAACAUACAGUAUAAAUUCAGUAUAAACAGUAUUGGUGAUAAUUGAGUUCAAUUGGUGACAAAAUCACUACUUUGUGUACACAUUGACUGAAUUUAACUUGGAGUACAGGCACUACAUUGCUUCUCUG
rnacentral:lncRNA from 1 species